rnacentral:piRNA from 1 species
UGGAGUAGGAAAUGGAAGAUCUC